AAAUAAGUUUAGUGAUAUCAAAUAAUGAUAAAGAGUUAAGAACAAUUACCAAAGAAACAUCAACUGCGCCAGCCGAACUAGUGGAUUCAUUGCAGGAAUUCCAGAAACUUGCCAACGAUGCGCUGACAGACUUGAUACAGCAGUCUGGAGAUUCAGUUGAACCACUUACUAUAGAAGAUGUGGAGGACAGUGACUCAGAGGGUGCCGAUGCUGAGGAUGUACAUACUCCUAAAAAGAGAAGAAAAUAAAGAAUAUGCCUACUUAAGUUGAUAUUUUUUUCGCAAUAAACUGCUAAUGGUCAUAAUAUAAUUCGCCCAUAUUCAAAACCGUAACCGCUUCCGACGUCGAUGACCGCGGCUCCACGGCGGAUGAUGUCCAGCGCCCCCCGCGCCCCCCGCCUGCCCCCGUCCUAUUGUAACAGACUUACCAGGCGAGCAGGCGACAUUAGGAUCACCGACUAGCGGCGGCACACAGGCGCACUGGGCGCGGUGCCCACCGGCGCGGCACUCGGCGCCCACCCCGCAGGCGCCCGCGGCGCACGCGGCCACGCAGCGCCCACUCGCGCAGCGCUCGUCGUCGCCGCAUGAGCUGUCGUCCGAGCAUUCGCCUCCUGUGGUGGGGAGUGAGGUUUGGUGUACCCGGGGUUGCAGCGGCACCAGGCGGCGUGGUUGUCCACUUCACAGAACGCGUUGGGCCCGCAAGCCACGCUCGAGCAGGGUGAUAAACAAGUCCGGUUCAAGCAGGCGUGCGUGUUCGGGCACUCGUAAUCAUUGCUGCAAAGCUGUUUCUGAGACGGCCCUUCCUCAAUUGUGCCUGUAAAUUAAUGUCAAUAUUUAAUUUGCGAAUACAUGUUUCCAUUUAACAGUUCG